rnacentral:rRNA from 1 species
UACGGGGGGGGUAAGCGUUGUUCGGAAUUACUGGGCGUAAAGGGCGCGCAGGCGGCUGCUCAAGUCAGGCGUGAAAGGCCUGGGCUCAACCCGGAAACUGCCAUUGAUACUAUUGGUCUUGAAUGUUGUUGAGGUGGGCGGAACGGGUCAUGUAGCGGUGAAAUGCAUAGAUAUGACCCGGAACACCGAUUGCGAAGGCAGCCCACUAAGCAAUGAUUGACGCUGAGGCACGAAAGCGUGGGGAUCAAACAGG